CGGGAUGUGGCGCAGUCUGGUAGCGUAUACGCCUGGGGGGCGUGGGGUCGCAAGUUCGAAUCUUGUCAUCCCGACCA
rnacentral:tRNA from 2 species